rnacentral:rRNA from 2 species
UGUUUCGGCUAGGGGGCCAUCCCGGCUUACCAACCCGAUGCAAACUGCGAAUACCGGAGAAUGUUAUCACGGGAGACACACGGCGGGUGCUAACGUCCGUCGUGAAGAGGGAAACAACCCAGACCGCCAGCUAAGGUCCCAAAGUCAUGGUUAAGUGGGAAACGAUGUGGGAAGGCCCAGACAGCCAGGAUGUUGGCUUAGAAGCAGCCAUCAUUUAAAGAAAGCGUAAUAGCUCACUGGUCGAGUCGGCCUGCGCGGAAGAUGUAACGGGGCUAAACCAUGCACCGAAGCUGCGGCAGCGACACUCAGGUGUUGUUGGGUAGGGGAGCGUUCUGUAAGCCUGUGAAGGUGGCCUGUGAGGGUUGCUGGAGGUAUCAGAAGUGCGAAUGCUGACAUAAGUAACGAUAAAGCGGGUGAAAAGCCCGCUCGCCGGAAGACCAAGGGUUCCUGUCCAACGUUAAUCGGGGCAGGGUGAGUCGACCCCUAAGGCGAGGCCGAAAGGCGUAGUCGAUGGGAAACGGGUUAAUAUUCCCGUACUUGGUGUUACUGCGAAGGGGGGACGGAGAAGGCUAUGUUGGCCGGGCGACGGUU